CCAAACAGUGGAAGUGGAUACAACAAGUGGUAUCGAGACGUUCGGUCUCGACCAGCUCUUCCGCACCAAUCUCGAUUGUUAGUAAAGGUCAUAGGCUUACAGUGUUGGAGCGCUCGCGGCGGCUCUUCAGGGUAAGUGAAAGAUCGUAAUCAUCUGUAUUGUUUUGUCCUUGGUUGCCUUGCUCAUUGUUGUUGCAGAGGUUAGAACGGGUGUGCUGAACCCGACUGAGGUAGAGCCGCUACUUCAAGCUCUCCCCCUAUCCGCGGCAGUGACUGCGUCAUUGCUGUAUAAGGGUAGGCCCUUCUCAGUUAGCUAAAAUGUUUAGCCCCGCCCCGUUUAAUUUGGGCAGCGACCGUAAUGGCGUAGACAUGGCGUCGGGCGCACCUGAUGCUCGUUCCACUUUGCCUGCCUACGCUGUUGCGGGACUUGUUUCCGACCCCGGUGCACCUAGUACUUCUAGAGGUCCGGGCGGCCCUAUUGAGGUCCCUGUUGCUGUUCGCGAACCUGAUGCGCGAACGCCAUUCUCAACUUUUGCCGCAGCACCUUUGUUGCAUAUGCCCACUGGGGCUGCCGAGAAUGUUCGUUUAAGGCCACUUGGUCCUACUGGUGACGAACGUCUCCACUCCUUGCCUUCUUUGGCCCCUUUUGCUCUGCGCAACCCGCCUAAUGCUCCCAUGAAUCGUCCGGAUGUUCCAACGGUGAUACCAGAAACCCCGACGACAGAUGCGGACCACCGUGCUGCGGCUGCGCGUGCGUUAGCGGUGGAAGCGGCUGCUGCUGCUGGGGCUGCGG
rnacentral:lncRNA from 1 species